AUGAACGCUAGCGACAGGCUUAACACAUGCAAGUCGAGGGGCAGCGGGGGAUAAGCUUGCUUUUCCUGCCGGCGACCGGCGCACGGGUGAGUAACACGUAUGCAACCUGCCCCUGUCAGAGGGAUAAUCCGGAGAAAUCCGGUCUAAUAUCGCAUAAAGCGUUUGCGGGGCAUCCUGCGAGCGCCAAAGGAGUAAUCCGGACAGGGAUGGGCAUGCGGCGCAUUAGCUAGUUGGGGGGGUAACGGCCCACCAAGGCGACGAUGCGUAGGGGUUCUGAGAGGAAGGUCCCCCACAUUGGUACUGAGACACGGACCAAACUCCUACGGGAGGCAGCAGUGAGGAAUGUUGGUCAAUGGGCGGAAGCCUGAACCAGCCAAGUCGCGUGAGGGAAGACGGCCCUAUGGGUUGUAAACCUCUUUUGCCGGGGAGCAAAAGCGCCGUGCGCGGUGCUAUGAGAGUACCCGGAGAAAAAGCAUCGGCUAACUCCGUGCCAGCAGCCGCGGUAAUACGGAGGAUGCGAGCGUUAUCCGGAUUUAUUGGGUUUAAAGGGUGCGUAGGCGGACAGUUAAGUCAGCGGUCAAAACGGGCGGCUCAACCGCCUGCCGCCGUGGAAACGGGCAGUCUAGAGUGGGCGAGAAGUACGCGGAAUGCGCGGUGUAGCGGUGAAAUGCAUAGAUAUUGCGCAGAACUCCGAUUGCGAAGGCAGCGUACCGGCGCCCGACUGACGCUGAGGCACGAAAGCGUGGGGAUCGAACAGGAUUAGAUACCCUGGUAGUCCACGCAGUAAACGAUGGACACUAUCUGUUCGGGUCGAAUGGGAUCUGAGUGGCACAGCGAAAGCGUUAAGUGUCCCACCUGGGGAGUACGCCGGCAACGGUGAAACUCAAAGGAAUUGACGGGGGCCCGCACAAGCGGUGGAGCAUGUGGUUUAAUUCGAAGCAACGCGAAGAACCUUACCAAGUCUUGACAUCCUGCGACGGACAUAGAAAUAUGUUUUUCCUUCGGGACGCAGAGACAGGUGGUGCAUGGUUGUCGUCAGCUCGUGUCGUGAGAUGUUGGGUUAAGUCCCGCAACGAGCGCAACCCCUAUUUCCAGUAGCCAGCAGUCAGAUGGGCACUCUGGAGAGACUGCCGGGGAUAACCCGGAGGAAGGUGGGGAUGACGUCAAAUCAGCACGGCCCUUACGUCCGGGGCGACACACGUGUUACAAUGGCAGGGACAGAGGGAAGCCACCGGGCGACCGGGCGCGGACCCCGAAACCCUGUCUCAGUUCGGAUCGGAGUCUGCAACUCGACUCCGUGAAGCUGGAUUCGCUAGUAAUCGCGCAUCAGCCAUGGCGCGGUGAAUACGUUCCCGGGCCUUGUACACACCGCCCGUCACACCAUGAGAGCCGGGGGGACCCGAAGUCGGUAGUCUAACCGCAAGGAGGACGCCGCCGAAGGUAAAACUGGUGAUUGGGGUG
rnacentral:rRNA from 1 species